rnacentral:rRNA from 1 species
CGGAAGAAGCAUUGUUAAGGAACUCGGCAAAAUGACCCCGUAACUUCGGGAGAAGGGGUGCCUGCGAGAGCAGGCCGCAGAGAAUAGGCUCAAGCAACUGUUUAGCAAAAACACAGGUCUAUGCGAAACCGAAAGGUGAGGUAUAUGGGCUGACGCCUGCCCGGUGCUGGAAGGUUAAGAGGAGAGGUUAGCGCAAGCGAAGCUUUGAAUUUAAGCCCCAGUAAACGGCGGCCGUAACUAUAACGGUCCUAAGGUAGCGAAAUUCCUUGUCGGGUAAGUUCCGACCCGCACGAAAGGCGUAAUGAUUUGAGCACUGUCUCGACAAUGCAUCCGGUGAAAUUGAAGUACCAGUGAAGAUGCUGGUUACCUGCGCCAGGACGGAAAGACCCCAUGGAGCUUUACUCCAGCUUGAUACUGGGAUUCGAUACUGUAUGUACAGGAUAGGUGGGAGACGUUGAGCAUAGAACGCCAGUUUUAUGUGAGUCGCUGUUGGGAUACCACCCUUGCAGUAUUGGAUUUCUAACCUGCACCCAUGACCUGGGUGGGGGACAAUGUCUGGCGGGGAGUUUGACUGGGGCGGUCGCCUCCGAAAGGGUAUCGGAGGCGCUCAAAGGUUCCCUCAGAAUGGUUGGAAACCAUUCGAAGAGUGCAAAGGCAGAAGGGAGCUUGACUGCGACACCGACGGGUGGAGCAGGUACGAAAGUAGGACUUAGUGAUCCGGUGGUAUAAAGUGGGAUUGCCAUCGCUCAACGGAUAAAAGCUACCCUGGGGAUAACAGGCUUAUCACUCCCAAGAGUUCACAUCGACGGAGUGGUUUGGCACCUCGAUGUCGGCUCAUCGCAUCCUGGGGCUGUAGCAGGUCCCAAGGGUUGGGCUGUUCGCCCAUUAAAGCGGUACGCGAGCUGGGUUCAGAACGUCGUGAGACAGUUCGGUCCCUAUCCGGCGCAGGCGGAGGAUAUUUGAGAGGAGCUGUCCUUAGUACGAGAGGACCGGGAUGGACGGACCACUGGUGUAUCUGUUGGCUAUCAGAGCCAUGGCAGAGUAGCCAAGUCCGGCAGGGAUAAACGCUGAAGGCAUCUAAGCGUGAAGCCCCCCUCAAGAUGAG